rnacentral:rRNA from 2 species
UACUGGGCGUAAAGCGAGCGUAGGUGGCUUGAUAAGUCAGAUGUGAAAUCCCCGGGCUUAACCUGGGAACUGCAUCUGAAACUGUUAGGCUAGAGUAGGUGAGAGGGAAGUAGAAUUUCAGGUGUAGCGGUGAAAUGCGUAGAGAUCUGAAGGAAUACCGAUGGCGAAGGCAGCUUCCUGGCAUCAUACUGACACUGAGGCUCGAAAGCGUGGGUAGCAAACAGGAUUAGAUACCCUGGUAGUCCACGCCGUAAACGAUGUCUACUAGUCGUUGGGUCCCUUGAGGACUUAGUGACGCAGCUAACGCAAUAAGUAGACCGCCUGGGGAGUACGGCCGCAAGGUUAAAACUCAAAUGAAUUGACGGGGGCCCGCACAAGCGGUGGAGCAUGUGGUUUAAUUCGAUGCAACGCGAAGAACCUUACCUGGUCUUGACAUAUCUAGAAUCCUGCAGAGAUGCGGGAGUGCCUUCGGGAAUUAGAAUACAGGUGCUGCAUGGCUGUCGUCAGCUCGUGUCGUGAGAUGUUGGGUUAAGUCCCGCAACGAGCGCAACCCUUGUCCUUAGUUACCAGCGGGUCAAGCCGGGAACUCUAAGGAUACUGCCAGUGACAAACUGGAGGAAGGCGGGGACGACGUCAAGUCAUCAUGGCCCUUACGACCAGGGCUACACACGUGCUACAAUGGUAGGUACAGAGGGCAGCUACACAGCGAUGUGAUGCGAAUCUCAAAAAGCCUAUCGUAGUCCAGAUUGGAGUCUGCAACUCGACUCCAUGAAGUAGGAAUCGCUAGUAAUCGCGGAUCAGAAU